CCGGCAGCAGAGUUGGGCCCAGAGUCCACCUGUCCGGUCCAGGCGUGACAGCAGCAGCAGGACAGGAGUGAGGGCUGAGAGACCCAGGCAAAGGGAGACACCUCCAAGGACAUCUCCCAGACACCGCCGCUCCCGGCAGCAGGGUUGGGCCCAGAGUCAACGUGUCCGGUCCAGGAGUCGGCGUGACAGCAGCAGCAGCAGGACAGGGCUGAGGGCUGAGGGGCCCAGGCCGGGGGAGACAUGGUCAGGGACGUCCCCCAGACGCAGCCGGUCCCGCCUGCAGCGCCGCGCCUCGGAUCCACCUGUGCAGUCCAGGAGUGGCCAGGACAGCAGCAGGAGGACAGCAGCGCAUGCUGAGAGUCCAAGGCGCAGGGGGACACCGUCGGGGACGUCCCGCAGGAGCAGCCGCUCCCGCCAGCGACGUCGGGCCUCAAGUGGCACCUCCAACAGCAGCACGUAGCGCCAUCUUUUCUUUCUAGUCCAUGGGUUCGCUGCCGGAAGUGAAGGUGAGAACGGUCAGCACAGGGCCCCUGAGAUUUGCAGGUCUGUGAGAAAACCCUGUUAGCUCUUGACAUUUCUACCGGCAGGAAAGAGGUCUGUGCUAAAUACCUUGAUUUCUGUGUAACCCUGUAUUCAGUGACAAGUCCCUUAAGGAUGUGGCUAAUGGAAAAGGACUCUUGCUCCUGCCUUUAGACUCCAGCCUCAGAUGUUUCCCCACUGCUUAGCCUUGAAAGUGAACCACUCCUUAAUGGGCUUGGGUCCGGUUAGGGAGACGUUCAGAGCAAGGUGGCUCCUGAGGAAGCUGUCUUUGGAAAGGACGUGUGCUGUGUUGCUAUCCUUGAGCAAUCUCCCUUCAGGAAAGCCAAAAGGAAGAAGAAAGAAGAGAGUGAGACACUGUCUCAAGUGUCUGAAGAAAACAAUUCCAAUGUUGCUGCUGAUUUGAAAGACUUGAUUGGACCUUCAAAGAACAAAGCAGUAAAGAGUGUGGAAAUACCCUGGGACAAAGAGGACGCACAGGACUCUGGCCCAGAUGACCAUUUGGGACCUUUGACUGAGAAGGACGCAGCUCAGGAGUGGAGUGCUUUCAAGUUUUCCUUCUUUGGAGACACAGAGCAGUUGGGCAUCAAAGAAGGAAUUCGGGAAGGCAUGCUUCGAGAAGGCACUGGGUACUUUGCAAAAUGGUGGAAAAGCUUGUUGUCAUGCCCUGAAUUCCUCAAAGAGGGAAAAAGAGCCUUACGUACUUGGAACAACAAAACCGGUACAAGUCACGUGGCAAGAGGAUCGACGUGUCCAAGACUGCAGUUCUGAGGGUGAAGAGGAGCCCCAGAUGUCAGAAAUUGAAAAGGACUGAGAAAUGCAAGUUCCAUUGCUCUUUGUUGUCUCCUUGGCGGUAGUAGCUGGAUGCUGUGGCAAUAUUAACAGCAGCACUCAGCAAGUGGGAAACUGACAUUGCACGCCCCUGAAAGCCAUCUUGGAAAACCAUUUGUGCUGCACAGAGUCAAAACGCCCAGCAGGCCGUUUGCUGUGAAGUUGAAUGUGGAAAAAGAGAAGUAGAGCACAAGAAAUUUUCCGGGUCAUUUGGGUUUGACCAACUCCAAAUGGAGUUUGGCCAAAAGCCAAAGACACAGUCAGUUUUCUCUUUCAAAGUGGCUUUUGUAAAAUCAAAAGCUCUAUUUGGGUACUAGGGAAUAAAGUUUUUCAAUGUAUACAAUUUCUCUGAAGCACUACAGUUUCAAGUCAUGCGCAUGGAAUUUGAUAGUACAAUUUAGGAUGCUAAAAUCCCUUUGUACUUGUCUAGGUUUCUUUCUUUACCACACACAGAAAGUGCUAGAGUUUGCUUCUCCGACGAUGAUGAACGCCUAAGAGGUAGGACGGAAUUUCUUCAUCCCCUUUUGGAUUUCUUUCCCUUCUGAACCUUUCCUGGACUAGUUAUGAAUGUUUUCUAGCAAAAUUUGCCACCCUUACUUGUGGCCAAAAUAGUGGUGGAAUCCCAUGAGCACGUCCUGGUAAAAUAGAGGUCAAGCAGAUUUCUGGCUUACUUUUCUUUCAGAUAUUUGGCUAAUAGGAACCUGGACUUUUAGAGCUUAUCAAAAACUUAGUCACUUGACAGGUUACCUAGACAGUUUGGAUCCCUUCAGGUAUGUGUAGCAUCUUGAACUUUUUCCUGCCUUUCUUUCGGGUGUUACCAUCAGGAAUGUUGAGUUUGGCUUGUAUGUGCCUGUGGUUCUUUGUCCUCAUGAAUCUGGGGCUUUCUCUUCUGAAUCCAGUGAAUUUGGUGUUUAGAAACAAAGCAAACAACAACAAAAGGGAAAACACACAGUCCCCAAAACCUGCACAGGCCUCCAGAACAAUUGCUUGUUAUAUUUUGUAGAAUAUAUAGUCUUAAGACAGGCUCAAAGGCUGUGCCUUUCUUGAGACUGAUUAGGUAACUCUGAGGCAAGGUACUGCUGUGUUCAUGCAGUUACCGGCCUGCAAUCUCCCCGCCUGUCUGAUUUACAGGGUGUGUUGAAACGGAGAGCUCAGUCCUCAGCAGGCCUCAGUGCUGGGGAGGAUGCAGGGUCCUGGUGCUGAGCUUCUAAGGGAACGGCUGCUAUUUCUCUGCAAUUUAGAUUGCAGCAUGUUGAGGAGAACUGCUGCUGCCUUUCAUUGUUCUUAGUACACCAGGCUGCAGCAGGGAGCAUUUCUGUUGGAGCCAACGUGUGGUGGGGGGCAGGAGAACAGGAAGGAUGAGGAGAAUUGAUUUCUGACUUUCUUACUGCCCUGUUCAUGAUUGUUAGAAGCAGCAGCACAAUCAGAAGUGUUUAACCCUAUUAAUUGGUUGUUUGUUUUGUGCACAGGAGCCAAAGUUAUUUUGUAGAUUACUAGAGCUCAGUGAAGAGAAAGAGGGUUAGGAAGACAGACUUAGAUUAUUGCUAGAGGUGAGUAUGGAACGUCUGUUCCCUGGUAGCUCUAGGCGAAAGCUGAGCAUGGGGAGGGAAUGCAGGUAUGAAUGUGCAUGCCAAAUUAAUUUGGGACCUCAAGAAGAGCUUGAAACUUUUUAUUGACCAGGAAACAAAAGCUUUGUAGUCUACCGCUGUGUAUAACGCCCUGUUGUAUUGUCCAGUAAUGUAAAGCACGGCAUCUCUGUAUUUUACAGGAGCAGCACCUUAACUAUCUGUAAGGAAUGUAUUUAAGAGAUAGAGAGAAUUUAGAGACUUCUCUUAAUAGUGGAAUAGGAAACUUCUCCGAAGACUUUGUUAGAUUUUCAUUAUAUUCUGGAACGCCGAAGGAAGCAUAAGGAUACCAAAUAGAAAGUGCAAGCAAACCAAUAAACCUUUUACUGAUUGGAA